CCUACGGGUGGCAGCAGUGAGGAAUAUUGGUCAAUGGACGAGAGUCUGAACCAGCCAAGUAGCGUGAAGGAUGACUGCCCUAUGGGUUGUAAACUUCUUUUAUAUGGGAAUAAAAUAAGGCAUGCAUACCUUUUUGUAUGUACCAUAUGAAUAAGGAUCGGCUAACUCCGUGCCAGCAGCCGCGGUAAUACGGAGGAUCCGAGCGUUAUCCGGAUUUAUUGGGUUUAAAGGGAGCGUAGGUGGAUUGUUAAGUCAGUUGUGAAAGUUUGCGGCUCAACCGUAAAAUUGCAAUUGAUACUGGCAGUCUUGAGUACAGUAGAGGUAGGCGGAAUUCGUGGUGUAGCGGUGAAAUGCUUAGAUAUCACGAAGAACUCCGAUUGCGAAGGCAGCUCACUGGACUGCAACUGACACUGAUGCUCGAAAGUGUGGGUAUCAAACAGGAUUAGAUACCCUAGUAGUC
rnacentral:rRNA from 1 species